AGGAGUAUAACUCAGUGGUAGAGCAUCUGCUUCGCAUGCAGAAGGUCCCAGUUCAAACCAUGGCAUUUCCA